CUAGAAUCUUGGUGAAGAUAAAGAAGCCCCCGAGCAAUUCCCAGAAUGACAUUGAAGCGCAUAUCCCAGUUCAAUAGCAUGCAUAGUCUUCGGUCUGGCAAGCCCAAAAGUCGAACCAGGUUUCGAUGUUGGAGUUUGGCAAUCAACAGAACCUCAUUUUUGAAUUCCUCUAAUCCUUGUCCUGAACAGCUUGAGAGCCUCUUAACAGCGAUUUCUUGUCCUCCUGGAAGCUUACCCUGAUAGUACAAUCCGAAUAAAGUUACAUUAUUUACCGGUAACAAGUUAAUAUUGAUCCAUGAUGUCUACUAAAGGUACAUUACCUUGUAAACAGGGCCAAAACCCCCUUGUCCAAGUUUAUUUGCAUUGGA